ensembl:lncRNA
GUCCUAUGUCGGAUAUUGAUAAUAAUAAAGGUUGCACCGAAUUAAGGAAUACAUUACAUAUGCACUCGAAUAAUAGUAAUAGUGGUAUAACUAGCUAUAAUCAUAACAUAUCGUCUGAUAGUAGUUUUUAUGAAAAAAAAAAUAAAUCGCAAAAUUUUUUUUCUGAGUGUGAUUAUAUGCUUGAAAAUGAAAAUGCACGUAUAAACGCGGUCCCAAUUAUGCGAGAGUACGAAUAUAAAGGUAUUAAAAAUGAAAGAGGAAACACAAAAAAACAGAUAAAGCUGAAUAAUAGCGAUUAUAAUAAUUAUACAUUUUCUAAUCGUAGUAGCAGUAACGGUAGUAGUAAGAGUGACCACGAACAGAUGAAAGGUAAAAACAUUCCAACACAUAUUUUUUUAAAACAGGAAUACCUAAUUUACCAGUCUGAUAGACUUGCACUUAUACUUUUCAAUAUCAUUUGUAAAGAGUUUUUAAAAAAUGAUAAUAUGAAUAUUGUUAUUUUUAUGCCUACUGUUAAAAUGUUACAGUAUGUUUAUAUUAUUUUUAAGCAUUACAUAUUUAAGGGGUAUAUAUUUUUACUAUAUUUAAAAUGUAAUAAUAAUGAUUAUAUCAAAAAAAAUAUAUAUAAUUAUUUAAACAAAUAUGGUGAUUUUUAUGAUAAAAAAACUGUUAACUUUUCCGUUUCUUCAAAUCCUUUUAUUAUUAAAGAAGAUUGUUUAGCAAAAAAAAAUGAUAUCGACAAUGGUCACUUCGAAGAAGAGUAUAAACUAGAUGAACAUUUAUCAAACACGGAAGAAAAAAAAAAAAUAAAUAAAAUAAAAAACCAACCUAUUUCUGUCGAAGGUGAUAAGUGGGAGGAGAGUGAAGAGUUGGCAGAUAAGCCUGACACUGAAUUUUCUAACAUGGACCCAAAACAAGAGUGGAAAAAUUAUUAUGAACAAUUAAAAGACGUCAUGUUUUUAUGUUUUCACAGUAAACUAAGUUUAGAUAAAAAAAAAUAUACAUUAAACACAUUUAAUGAUGUUACAAAAAAAAAAAAAAAAAAAAUUUUAUUUUCUACAUCUUUAUUAUGUCAAGGUAUAAAUGUAGCUAAAGUUGAUUUAGUAAUACAAGUUGGUAUAUGUGGUGGUAACAUGGAUGAAUAUAUAUUAAGAACGAAUAUAGCUACAAAUAAAAAUACUGCAGGUAGAAGUUUAUUAUUGUUAAACGAGUUAGAAAGUCAUUAUUUAUUUAUGUUGUAUAAAAAUAAUAUCAUGAUUAGUAGUGUCAGCAAAAAUUAUUUAAAUAGUCUAUACGAUGACAAUCCCUUAUUAAAUAUGUUAUUAAAGUAUAAGAGGUUUAACACUAAUGAUUCGUGUAAUAAUUUUAAGGAUAAAAACGAAUUAGCCUGUGACGUGAUUGAAAGAAGUAGUGAAACAAUUUGUUAUGAACUGGUCAAUGGUAAGGGCUUGACUGAAAAUGGCAAACAGGACGAACCUGAUGGUAAACGGGAUGAAGAUAGCAAACGGGAUGAAGAUAGCAAACGGGAUGAAGAUAGCAAACGGGAUGAAGAUAGCAAACGGGAUGGAGAUAGCAAACGGGAUGGAGAUAGCAAACGGGAUGAACCUGAUGGAAAAAACUAUUACCACAACAGAAACCCCACAACAGUAAAUCCCAUAACCUUUAUAAAUCAUCCAAUUAAAAUUGCACAUAUUGAAUGGCAUAAACAUAAGCACAUGUUAGCAUCGUGUGAAUUAAUGUAUAGAUCGCUUUUAGGAUUUUACUGUGAAAGAAAUAAAAUUUUAAAAUAUGAAAAAUGGCAAGUCCCAAGCUUAAUUAAAAACAUAAUUUAUUCAUUUGGAUAUUUUGAAAAUUUUUAUAUCACAAAAUCUAUGGCUGCGAGGCUCCAAAUUAUAAAUUCACCUGACUUGUACAUAAAAUUUAAUGCUACGCCAAAAUCUGUUUUAAUUUCUGCUUUACCAUGUUAUAAAAGUUAUAAAUCACAAAUGAAUGAACUAAAGCUUAAAAAUAUGAACAACUCGGUCAACACUUUUACAAACCGAGAGACACCUUUUGACAAUGAAGAAAAAAAUGUUUUACCGGAUCAAAGCGACGAGUGCUUAAACAAUACAUCAUGUACAGAUAUGUUGUUGGAACAUUCAUCAGAUAGUAAACAACGCGAAAAGGCGAAACAUCCUUUAUAUUUUACCAUGUACAAAUAUUUAUCAUAAAUGUUUGGUCACACAGGUUAGCCA